UACGGAGGGUGCAAGCGUUAUCCGGAUUUACUGGGUUUAAAGGGUGCGUAGGUGGAUUUGUAAGUCAGUGGUGAAAUCUCCGAGCUUAACUCGGAAACUGCCAUUGAUACUAUAAGUCUUGAAUUAUCUGGAGGUAAGCGGAAUAUGUCAUGUAGCGGUGAAAUGCUUAUAUAUGACAUAGAACACCAAUUGCUAAGGCAGCUUACUACGGAUCGAUUGACACUGAUGCACGAAAGCGUGGGGAUCAAACAGU
rnacentral:rRNA from 1 species